GACGAACGCUGGCGGCGUGCUUAACACAUGCAAGUCGAACGGAAAGGCCCUGCUUUUGUGGGGUGCUCGAGUGGCGAACGGGUGAGUAACACGUGAGUAACCUGCCCUUGACUUUGGGAUAACUUCAGGAAACUGGGGCUAAUACCGGAUAGGAGCUCCUGCUGCAUGGUGGGGGUUGGAAAGUUUCGGCGGUUGGGGAUGGACUCGCGGCUUAUCAGCUUGUUGGUGGGGUAGUGGCUUACCAAGGCUUCGACGGGUAGCCGGCCUGAGAGGGUGACCGGCCACAUUGGGACUGAGAUACGGCCCAGACUCCUACGGGAGGCAGCAGUGGGGAAUAUGGCACAAUGGGCGGAAGCCUGAUGCAGCAACGCCGCGUGCGGGAUGACGGCCUUCGGGUUGUAAACCGCUUUCGCCUGUGACGAAGCGUGAGUGACGGUAAUGGGUAAAGAAGCACCGGCGAACUACGU
rnacentral:rRNA from 1 species